UACGUAGGGUGCAAGCGUUGUCCGGAAUUAUUGGGCGUAAAGAGCUCGUAGGCGGCUUGUCACGUCGGCUGUGAAAACCCGGGGCUUAACUCUGGGCCUGCAGUGGAUACGGGCUGGCUUGAGUGCGGUAGGGGAGACUGGAAUUCCUGGUGUAGCGGUGAAAUGCGCAGAUAUCAGGAGGAACACCGGUGGCGAAGGCGGGUCUCUGGGCCGUAACUGACGCUGAGGAGCGAAAGCGUGGGGAGCGAACAGG
rnacentral:rRNA from 1 species